AUGAAGCAGCUGCACGAGACCUAUGCCUCUUUGCUUGAUGGCAAGCAAUUCGCCUACGAUGGCGACAAAAGCCUCUUCACCUCUGGGCCUCUCCCAUUUGCCACCAAUGAUUUUGACGUUGUCAUAGAUGGCGAUGCUUUGUCCAGAAAGAUUGCAACGAGCCAGAGCCCGGGAGCAGAUGGCAGUCCAGGACCAAGCGACAAGAAAAGAAUGAAACAGGCAGGACAGAGCAAAAGGUUCAAGGUGGAUAUCACCUUCACAGCAAAGGUUCCGAUCAGUGCCAUUGCCCUCGUCCUUGGUGGCGGUCAGGAAUCUGAGAACUCGCAGGAGGUUCUUCGGGUUCUUGACAUCAUUCUGAGGCAGCACGCUGCAAGACAGAAUCGCCUCUUAGUCCGACAGUCUUUUUUCCGUAGAGAUUCCGAUUGCAUCAAGUUGGGUGGCGGUGUUCUAGGUUGUCAGGGUUUUCAUUCUAGCAUUCGACCCACUCAAAGUGGGCUUUUACUCAAUUGUGAUUUGUCCACCACUAUGGUAGUGGAACCUGGGCCUGUGAUUGCAUUUCUGCUCUCCAACCAGGGUGUCAAGGACACUUCUAGCAUUGACUGGGGCAAAGCUAAACGGGCACUGAAUAAAUUAAGGAUUGAAACCACUCACACGAAGGCGGAAUUUAGGAUUGUCGGAUUGUCCGAAAACAGUUGCUAUAACCAGACGUUCCCACUAAAGCAAAAAGAUGGCAACGGUACUGUGGAUGUAACUGUCUAUGAUUACUUCAUGGACCGUUGGUCGAUGAAGCUGGAGAAGUCUGCUCAUAUGCCAUGUCUAAAUGUGGGGAAGCCAAACCGCCCAACAUACCUCCCGCUGGAGGUUUGCCGCCUAGUGCCAUUGCAAAGGUAUAAAAGGUCUUUGUCCACGUCGCAAAGGUCAAAGCUGGUGGAGGCAUCCAGGCAGAGGCCGGAUCAGAGGAUGUCGAAGUUGUAUGGUGAGUUGCGUGCCAAUAAUUAUGAUUCCGAGCCAAUGAUGAAGGAAUGCGGCAUAUCAAUAGUUCCAGACUUUACCCAGGUUCAGGGUAGAGUCCUUGAGGCACCACAGUUAAGCGCUGCAGAUGGUAGACAACUAUAUACACCUAAUGGGAGGUGGAAUUUCAAUAAAAAUAGGUUUUUUCGGCCGAUUGACUUUAAGAAGACCUGGCCAUGGGGAGUUGUUGAUUUUUCUACACGACGUGAUGUUGAACAUCUUGUCGAGCACCCUCUCCAAUCCGGUAGCGAGAAGGGAAUCAGUAUGGAGAAAUAUAGCGCUGUAAUUCAGGAGAUUCAUAAAAUGAAACAUCAAUCUCCGGCAAAAAGGGUGGAGGAUAUGUUUCGGCAGGUAAAUAUAGCAUUCGGAGGAAAUAAUCCAGAGUUUCUCCUGUGUUUUCUUCCUGAGAAGAACUCUGACAUAUAUGGACCAUGGAAGCGUGAAUGCCUUGCACAACGUGGCAUUGUUACACAAUGCUUGGUUCCUCCUCCCAACGUCAAAGAUCAGUACCUCACAAAUGUGCUGCUAAAGAUAAAUGCCAAGCUUGGCGGGUUAAAUUCAUUGCUGAAAAAGGAAAUAACCCAUGCUAUUCCUCACGUGUCGAGGAUUCCAACCAUCAUCUUUGGUAUGGAUGUUUCCCAUGGUUCACCAGGACGUGACGUGCCAUCGGUUGCUGCAGUUGUUAGUUCAUUGGAGUGGCCAAUCAUCUCAAAAUACAGAGCUUCUGUGUGCACUCUGCCACCCAGGCAGGAAAUGAUCAAAACCUUGUUUAAGCAAGAUGGAGAUACUGAUCAUGGCCUCAUUAAGGAUUCACUAGUUGCCUUCCUCGGAAAAAACAAUAAACCGAAGCCGGAACAAAUUAUCAUUUUCAGGGAUGGGGUUAGUGAGAGCCAGUUCGAUCAGGUGUUGAAUGAUGAGCUAGGCCAGAUCAUGGAGGCAUGCAAGUUUUUUGGCGACAAGCAUUUUGGUGGCAACUGGUUCCCCAAGUUCACAGUGAUAGUUGCACAGAAGAAUCAUCACACAAGAUUUUUCUUGCGGAAUGGAGUGAAUAAUGUUCCCCCUGGUACUGUGGUUGAUGGAGUAAUCUGCCAUCCCAGGAACUAUGAUUUCUACAUGUGUGCUCAUGCUGGCAUUAUCGGGACUACAAGGCCAACACACUACCAUGUGCUCCAUGAUGAGAUAGGCUUCUCUACUGACGAUCUGCAGGAGCUCGUGCACUCCCUGUCCUACACGUAUCAGAGGAGCACCACAGCCAUCUCAGUAGUUGCUCCCAUCUACUAUGCACACCUUGCCGCGGCGCAUGUGGCCAAGUUCACCAAGCUCGAUGACGGCAUGUCGGAGACGUCAUCCCAAGCUGAGGCUGCGCCGGUGCCGGAGCUGCCUUUUCUGCAUCCCAAUGUGGCAUCGUCCAUGUUCUUCUGCUGA
rnacentral:rRNA from 1 species